GGGCGGGUAGCGCAGUGGUCAGCGUGUUCCAUGAGCGUACUUAGCGUUUGUUUCCAUAUAUACAUACCCAGCGUUCAUUGAAGACCCGGGUUCGAAUCCCGGCCCGCCCA